UGUCAACUUUUUUAUUAUGAGCAAUGGGUCAUUUUUCACUUGCAUCAUACCAUUUCAGUUUAUUUAGAUCAUAUCCUUUAUUAGAUAAACCAAUAAAAAUGUAUUUAGUGUAAACAUAAUCUGAAAAGCAGCUUUGACACUCAAAACAGAAUUCAGAGCUCAUUUACCGUAUUCCUCAAUCAGAUCAAAUUGGUGCAAGAAAGAGAAAUAACCAGAACUAUCAAAUUUAACAAAGUUUAUUUUUUACAUAUCGCUGCUGUCCUUCUGAAAACUUGUGUUUCCAUAUUUUCUGAUUUUUCUUUUUUUGCCAUGAAUCAUUAUUAUUAGUCACCCUUUAUAUUUGUCAUUGGGCUUUGCAAAUAACUAACCAAUAAGCAGUGCUUGUCAACAUGGACAAAGUAUGUAAUAAUUUAAAAAGUUUUUUCCUGAAACAGAGCGAAUUUGGACAUUCAAAGUUUCAGAAGGACAGCGACGAUAUGUUUAUUGUCUUAUUUUGCAUGAUUGACUGGUGGAUAUCAUCCCAAAUUCAUUUUCUAAAUGUAAUGACAUAAAAUAAUUUUCUUUCUUGGCAUGCUAUCGUAAUUUUCAUCACCUCGUCUUAAACCUUGUGACACUAUAGGGUAUGUACAGUUUGACAAUCACUUCAUGAAUAAUAUAAGAAUGCAGCGGCAAGAGUGGUCUUCAAUGAACCGAAGAGAGCGCACGUCACUCCUCUCUCCACUAAGUUACAUUGGCUCCCUAUAGUCGCUCGAAUCAAAUUCAAGACUCUUACCUUCACCCCCUUACCUUCACUCGCUAAUGCAGACUUAUAUACCCGCCAGAUCCCUACGCUCUGCAAACGAACGUCUUGUGGUGCCAUCCCAAAAAGGUAAAAAAUCUCUCUCACGUACCUUCUCGGGAUCGGUUCCACAUUUAUGGAAUGAUCUGCCCGCUGCUACAAUAUUAGCAGAUUCUGUGGCCAUCUUUAAGAACCGUCUGAAAACACAUCUCUUCCGUCAACACCUGACUGAUCAGUUCUGACUGAAAAAACUUUUCUCUGUAUACUGUGGUAGGCUAUAUGAGACCAGUUUUCUUUUAUUGCACUUAUGCUUUUUGUUGUCCUUAUGUUGUUCCAAUUGCUUCCAUUGUUUCCCUCAUCUGUAAGUCGCUUUGGAUAAAAGCGUCUGCUAAAUGACUAAAUGUAAAUAUAAUUAAUUUCUACCCGGCAAUAUUCUUAUUUUCUAGUUAUUGAAUUUAAACAAAAAUCGGUUCAAAUGAACCAUCAGUUCAAAGCUUUUUAACCCCUAUCUGUUUUUCCAUCUGUUUGUUAACAAAGUCAUAUUAAGACUAAAUCAGGAAUACUGUCCAAGACAACAGAUCAGUUCAACAGCGACUGAAAAACCAGACACUUCUUGAAAUUAAUUGCGAUCCACUAACAAGAAAAUGAACCGAACAAGACUGUCCCAGCCUAAGAAGCACCUCAUCACGCGUGUUGACGUUGCCAUGGUGACAAAUGGAGGACAAGGAGCUCAGGAGAUGCAAAUGCCGACACUGUGCGUCUGAAGAGGUUUCCCACGCUUUCAUUUGUUACUCUUCAAUCAGACGUGAACAUGCGGUGAGCAUAUACACACACAUACAGUAUAUCAUAUCACAUACAUGUAGAUAGCUGUAUAUCAUAGGACAUCUCACAAACACAUUGUUCUAAAGCUGAAAAUGAGUGUAUUUGGGUUUAGCCUGUGUAACUUAAAUGAUAACAAACCCUUAUCUUUAUAAGGUGUUAUACAUUAUUUUGAUCUAUUGUUGUGAAUGCGAACUAUUAAAUAUUACACACUAAGUUGUAAUUGCAAACAAAAAAGUAAAAUCCAAAUAAAAAGGACGUUUGAAGAAAUGAAAUGUGCAUAUGUAUCUUUCGAGCACAGCUGAGCUUUAUGUGAGCGCUCCAGGUGACCAUCUAGAUGUGCCCUAAAUCAAACACAGCAUUCAAGCAAACACGUAUGAAUCUCGCGUAGUCUUGCUACGUAUAUCUGACUUAUCUUAAAGGGAUAGUUCACCCAAAAAAGAACAUUCUGCUAUCAUUUACUCGUCCUCUUGUCAUUGCAAAUGAUGUAUGUAUGUAUGACUCUCUUUCCUCUGUAGAACACAAAAGAAGAUAUUUUGAAGUUGUUGGUAACCGAACAGCCCCGGCACCCAUUCACUUCGAUUGUAUGGACACAAAACCAAUGCAAGUGAAUGUGUGCUGGUUUACAACAUUCUUCAAAAGAUCUUUUUUUGUGUUCUGUGGAAAAAAGAAAGUCAGGUUUGAAAUGACAAAAGAGUGAGUAAAUAAUGAUAGAAUUUUUUUUUUGUUUAAUUGUAAUGUUUAUGUAGGAAUGUUAAUUUAGUUGUAUCUGCUUAAAGGUAAAACUGUAUCAUUGUGGUAUUAUUUUGUAUCAUCUUUUCAUCUCUUGAGUGGCACCAUGACUGUGUGAUGUUACACACUUUACAGUUAAAGUACAGUACAGUGUCAUGGCUCUGCUUCAUUUAGUCAUGUUUUUCUUGGUCCUGUAGCAGAGUCAUGACAAAGCCUUUGGUUAUGUGUGGAGAGAAACAUAUUAUUGUCCUUUUGACAAUAAUAUACGUUCUCUCCAGUGUCUCGUCUCUGUUACCGCCAUCUCGUUUCCUCGUUAUCUUAAGUGUUUAAUUAAUUAAUUAAACCCUCGUUAUCCUGAGUGUUUAAUUACCCACACCUGCCCCGUGUCGUUAUCCUUUGUCUGUCUUCCCUAUAUAAUACCCUCAUGUUUCAUUGUCCUGUGUCGGUCAUUACGUAUGUUAUGUGCUGCUUCGUGUCAUCGUCUUGCCUU